rnacentral:rRNA from 1 species
UUUGAUCCUGGCUCAGGAUGAACGCUGGCGGCGUGCCUAACACAUGCAAGUCGAACGAAGCACUUAGGUGGAAUCCCUCCGGGGAGGAAGCCUCUGUGACUGAGUGGCGGACGGGUGAGUAACGCGUGGACAACCUACCCCGCACUGGGGGACAACAGCCGGAAACGGCUGCUAAUACCGCAUAUGCGCACAGCCCCACAUGGGGCGGUGCGGAAAGCCUUGUGCGGUGCGGGAUGGGUCCGCGUCUGAUUAGCUGGUUGGCGGGGUAACGGCCCACCAAGGCGACGAUCAGUAGCCGGCCUGAGAGGGUGGACGGCCACAUUGGGACUGAGACACGGCCCAGACUCCUACGGGAGGCAGCAGUGGGGGAUAUUGCACAAUGGGGGCAACCCUGAUGCAGCGACGCCGCGUGAGCGAUGGAGUACUCCGGUAUGUAAAGCUCUGUCAGCAGGGAAGAGAAUGACGGUACCUGACCAAGAAGCCCCGGCUAAAUACGUG